rnacentral:lncRNA from 1 species
GUGGAUUAAGGACAAGGAGAGGAUCAUGGAAUUUUCUCUUCCAGUUCAGUCCAUGCCAGUGACUUUCUGUUUGGUGAGGAAAGCUGUUUAUCCUCCCACUGUUGAUUUCCACUUGGAAUGAACUGGAAAUAGGUGUUGUUCUGGUGUUGCUGGUACUGUCACAUACCUGUGGAUGUUCCCAUCUGAAUGUCAAGAAUUUCCUUGGAUUUUCAUUGUGCAAUUUGUUUGUGGGCUGGAUUAGUGGAUCAGGACUGACUGCUGUAACAGAUCAUCACAUUUUUAUGUGUUAGGGUCCUGACCAGUUCAGAAGAAAUGUCCUGUGGAGAAGGAAUGGAGAUGCAAAGAAAAGCUGGGCUCCUGAUCCUCCAGUGCAUCCCUUGCUCCCAGCACAAGGUUCUUGCCAUGGCACUGGGCAUUGAGCUGGCCUCUGGCUGAGUUUCACCUCUCCCACCUCUGGUUCAGGCUGCAAUGUGGAGAAUCUUUGGCAGGAAAGGAGGUGAAGUAAAGAAGCAGCUAAUAUCAACUGAAGUGGAUCAAUAAAGGAUUUUAAACACUUGUUUAGAGAUAUUGA